rnacentral:rRNA from 1 species
AUUGAACGCUGGCGGCAGGCCUAACACAUGCAAGUCGAACGAGUGGCGGACGGGUGAGUAACGUCUGGGCAACUUCCCGAUGGAGGGGGAUAACUACUGGAAACGGUAGCUAAUACCGCCUACCAUCUGCUGUACCCAGAGGGGAUUAGCUAGUAGGUGGGGUAAUGGCUCACCUGGGCGAAGAUCCCUAGCUGGUCUGAGAGUAUGACCAGCCACACUGGAACUGGGACACGGUCCAGACUCUUACGGGAGGAAGCAGUGGGGAAUAUUGCACAAGGGGCGCAAGCCUGAUGCAGACAUGCCGCGUGUAUGAAGAGGGCCUUCGGGUUGUAAAGUACUUUCAGCGAGGAGGCGUUACUCGCAGAGGAAGCACCGGCUAACUCCGUGCCAGCAGCCGCGGUAAUUC